GUUAUUUGAGGGCAGAACGGGCGGCUGCCACGCCAGCAAUGGUCUUUAAAGAGAUGUAGGGUUGCCAACCUACCGAAUAGC
rnacentral:ncRNA from 12 species